rnacentral:rRNA from 1 species
UACGUAGGGCGCAAGCGUUGUCCGGAAUUAUUGGGCGUAAAGAGCUCGUAGGCGGUUUGUCGCGUCUGCUGUGAAAACCUAAGGCUCAACCUUGGGCUUGCAGUGGGUACGGGCAGACUAGAGUGCGGUAGGGGUGACUGGAAUUCCUGGUGUAGCGGUGGAAUGCGCAGAUAUCAGGAGGAACACCGAUGGCGAAGGCAGGUCACUGGGCCGCAACUGACGCUGAGGAGCGGAAGCCAGGGGAGCAAACGGG